rnacentral:rRNA from 1 species
UACAGAGGGGGCAAGCGUUAUUCGGAAUUAUUGGGCGUAAAGGGCGCGUAGGCGGCUAUCCAAGUGGCGGGUGAAAUCCCUCGGCUUAACCGAGGAACUGCCUGCCAGACUGGAUGGCUUGAGACCGGGAGAGGUGAGUGGAAUUCCCAGUGUAGCGGUGAAAUGCGUAGAUAUUGGGAGGAACACCAGUGGCGAAGGCGGCUCACUGGACCGGUACUGACGCUGAGGCGCGAAAGCGUGGGGAGCAAACAGG